CUACGGGUGGCUCCAGUGGGGAAUAUUGGGCAAUGGGCGCAAGCCUGACCCAGCGACGCCGCGUGAGGGAAGAAGGUUUUCGGAUUGUAAACCUCUGUCCUUGGGGACGAAGAAGUGACGGUACCCAAGGAGGAAGCUCCGGCUAACUACGUGCCAGCAGGCCGCGGUAAUACGUAGGGAGCAAGCGUUGUCCGGAAUUACUGGGCGUAAAGGGUGCGUAGGCGGCAUAUUAAGUCAGGUGUGAAAUACUCGGGCUCAACCCGGGGGCUGCAUUUGAAACUGAUAUGCUUGAGUGCGAGAGAGGAAAGUGGAAUUCCUAGUGUAGCGGUGGAAUGCGUAGAUAUUAGGAGGAACACCAGUGGCGAAGGCGACUUUCUGGCUCAUAACUGACGCUGAGGCACGAAAGCGUGGGGAGCAAACAGGAUUAGAUACCCUGGUAGUC
rnacentral:rRNA from 1 species